GACGAACGCUGGCGGCGUGCUUAACACAUGCAAGUCGAACGGAAAGGCCCUGCUUUUGUGGGGUGCUCGAGUGGCGAAUGGGUGAGUAACACGUGAGUAACCUGCCCUUGACUUUGGGAUAACUUCAGGAAACUGGGGCUAAUACCGGAUAGGAGCUCCUGCUGCAUGGUGGGGGUUGGAAAGUUUCGGCGGUUGGGGAUGGACUCGCGGCUUAUCAGCUUGUUGGUGGGGUAGUGGCUUACCAAGGCUUUGACGGGUAGCCGGCCUGAGAGGGUGACCGGCCACAUUGGGAUUGAGAUACGGCCCAGACUCCUACGGGAGGCAGCAGUGGGGAAUAUUGCACAAUGGGCGGAAGCCUGAUGCAGCAACGCCGCGUGCGGGAUGACGGCCUUCGGGUUGUAAACCGCUUUCGCCUGUGACGAAGCGUGAGUGACGGUAAUGGGUAAAGAAGCACCGGCUAACUACGUG
rnacentral:rRNA from 1 species